rnacentral:sRNA from 1 species
CCUGCGGAGGGAUCAUUACCGAGUUUACAACUCCCAAACCCCUGUGAACAUACCUAUACGUUGCCUCGGCGGAUCAGCCCGCGCCCCGUAAAACGGGACGGCCCGCCCGAGGACCCCUAAACUCUGUUUUUAGUGGAACUUCUGAGUAAAACAAACAAAUAAAUCAAAACUUUCAACAACGGAUCUCUUGGUUCUGGCAUCGAUGAAGAACGCAGCAAAAUGCGAUAAGUAAUGUGAAUUGCAGAAUUCAGUGAAUCAUCGAAUCUUUGAACGCACAUUGCGCCCGCCAGUAUUCUGGCGGGCAUGCCUGUUCGAGCGUCAUUUCAACCCUCAAGCUCAGCUUGGUGUUGGGACUCGCGGUAACCCGCGUUCCCCAAAUCGAUUGGCGGUCACGUCGAGCUUCCAUAGCGUAGUAAUCAUACACCUCGUUACUGGUAAUCGUCGCGGCCACGCCGUUAAACCCCUAGAUUGCAAGUUU